GCCAGGUUCAGCUGAGUCCAGAUCAUCCAGCAAGUUCAUGGUGAUGAGGCAGGUCUGAGGUUACAGAAUCCAGUUCGCAGGUCAGAAUCAGGCCCAAUGACUAUAACCAGGGUGAGGUCCAGUCCAGUGAUCACCAGGCAGGUCUGUGGUCAAGUUGGGAAGUCAGUGUGUGGAUCAGGGUCCAGAUCAAUGGGAUCCAUAGCCAGGUAUGGGCAUAGCUGUGCCUGAGCUACAGUGAUAUACAGUGAUAUAUAUAUCACUCCUGUGAUAUAGCUCAGGUUGGGACUAAAGACCCACCCUCCAAAUGAGCUUAAACGGAGCCAUGGGCAAAGGGUGUGGGUAGAGUUCCCGGGUGAGUUUGGUUAGGAUCAUUAAGGCUAAUUAGUGCCCUCUGGGGCCCUCAGGUCACCCUCUGGAGUUUAUCUUGUCUCUGAGAUCUGUACCAGCAGGGCAAGUCAAGAACUAAGUUUAGAGAGGAUGCCUAGGUUUCCACAUGGAAAGCCUAAAGGAGAGCUGGAUUAGACCUGAGCCAGGUAGAGCAAUUAUGCUUUAUCUGGAGGAUGAAAGGAGGUAAAUGUCCUCUGGGGAUAGCAGUCUGCAUGCAGGAGGCCAGGUUUGUAUGCUGUGUUGAGAGCAAACACAGGAAUCGCUCUCUAGGCUCAUUUCUAGGUGAGAGGACACUCAGGCAACUGGGAACAAUGAAGGCUACAGAAGUGAAGAGCCCUUUGGGCUGUCUAAAACAAAAAAGGAAGAACAGUAAUUCAUGCAGAACCAUUGCUUGCUCUAUUUUCUCUCUCCUCCAGAGAAAGCUGUAUAGAUGUAGAAAACAGCUUCUGAAGACAGAGGAGAGACAGGGCCUUCAGCUGAGGAGCCCAGUCCUCUUUACUGAAGAGGGCCAUACACUUGUCCCCAGCUGUGGAACAUCUCCACCUCACUGA
rnacentral:lncRNA from 1 species